AUGGCGCCCUACAGCCUACUGGUGAUCUGGCUGCAGAAAGCUCUGGGUGUGCAGCAGUACCAUGUGGCCUCAGUCCUGUGCCAACAGGCCAAGGUGGCGACGAGUCACUUUGAGUCCAAGUACAUCCACUAUGACCUGGUAGAGAAGAACAUUAACAUUGUUCGCAAACGAUUGAACCGGCCUCUGACCCUCUCUGAGAAGAUUGUGUAUGGACACCUGGAUGACCCCGCCAGCUAGGAAAUCGAGUGGGGCAAGAUGUACCUGCAGCAGUGGCCAGACAGCGUGGCCAUGCAAGAUGCAACCGCCCAGAUGGCCACACUGCAGUUCAUCAGCAGCAGGCUCCCAAGGUGACCGUGCCGUCCACCAUCCACCAUGACCAUCUGAUCGAGGCCCAGCUCGGGAGUGAAAAAGACCUGCGCCGGGCCAAGGACAUCAACCACGAAGUUUAUAAUUUCCUGGCAAAUGCAAGUGUCAGAUAUGGCGGGGGCUUCUGGAAGCCUGGAUCUGGAAUCACUCACCAGCUUAUUUUGGAAAACUAUGAAUACCUUGGGGUUCUUCUGAUUGACACUGACUCCCAUACCCCCAGUGGUGGCAGCCUGGGGGGCAUCUGCAUUGGAGUUGGGGGUGCUGAACUGUGGGUGUCAUGACUGGGAUCCCCUGGGAGCUGAAGCGCCCCAAGGUGAUUGGCAUGAAGCUGAUGGGCUCCCUCUCCGGUUGGAUUUCACCCAAAGAUAUGAUCCUGAAGGUGGCAGGCAUCCUCACAGUGAAAGGUGGCACAGGUGCAAUCGUGGAAUACCACGGGCCUGGUGUAGACUCCGUCUCCUGCACUGGCAUGGCGAUAGUCUGCAACAUGGGUGCAGAAAUUGGGGCCACCACUUCCGUGUUUCCUUAUAACCACAGGAUGAAGUAGUACCUGAGCAAGACCUGCCGGGCAGACAUAGCCGAUCUAGCUGAUGAAUUCGAGGAUCACUUGGUGCCUGACCCUGGCUGCCAUUAUGACCAACUAACUGAAGUUAACCUCAGUGAACUGAAGCCGCACAUCAAUGGGCCCUUCACCCCUGACCUGGCUCCCCCUGUGGCAGAAGUGGGCAAGGUGGCAGAGAAGGAAGGAUGGCCUCUGGACAUCUGACUGGGUCUGAUUGGCAGCUGCACCAAUUCAAGCUAUGAAGAUAUGGGGCACUCAGCAGCUGUGGCCAAGCAGGCACUAGCCCAUGGCCUCAAGUGCAAGUCCCAGUUCACGAUCACUCCAUGCUCUGAGCAGAUCUGCACCACCACUGAGUGGGACGGCUAAGCACAGACCUUGAGGGAUGUGGGCGGCAUCGUCCUGGCCAAUGCUUGUGGCCCCUGCAUUGGCCAGUGGGACAGGAAGGACAUCAAGAAGCAGAAGAACAUAACUGUCGCCUCCUACAACAGGAACUUCACGGGCUGCAAUGACGCAAACCCUGAGACCCACGCCUUCGUCACAUCCCCAGAGACUGUCACAGCCCUGGCCAUUGUGGGAACCCUCAAGUUCAACCCAGAGACCAACUACCUGACACGCAAGGAUGGCAAGAAGUUCAAGUUGGAGGCUCCUGAUGCAGAUGAGCUUCCUCAAGCAGAGCUGGACCCAGGACAGGACACCUACCAGCACCCCUGCAAGGGCUACCACUGAUCACAUCUCGGCUGCUGGCCCCUGGCUCAAGUUCCGUGGGCACUUGGAAAACAUCUCCAACAACCUGCUCAUUGGUGCCAUCAACGUUGAAAAUGGCAAGGCCAACUCCAUGCGUGAUGCUGUCACCCAGGAGUUUGGCCCUGUCCCUGCCACUGCCCGCUACUACAAGCAUCAUAGCAUCAGGUGCAUGGUAACUGGGGGAUGAGAACUACGGUGAGGGCUUAAGGCAGGAGCACGCAGCACUGGAGCCUCGCCACCUCAGGGGCUGGGUCAUCAUCACCAAGAGCUUUGCCAGGAUGCAUGAGACCAACCUGAAGAAGCAGAACCUGCUGCCCCUGACCUUUGCUGACCCAGCUGACUACAGCAAGAUUCGCCUUGUGGACAAGCUGACCUUUCAGGGCCUGAAGGACUUGCCCCUGGCAAGCCCCUGAAGUACAUCAUCAAGCACCCCAACGGGACCCAGGAGACCAUCUUCCUGAACCACACCUUCAACAAGAUACAGAUCGAGUGGUUCCGUGCCGGCAGUGCCCUCAACAGAAUGAAGGAGCUGCAGCAAUGA